UAAGCCGUUGAAGGUGAAUCGUAAGGUUUGCUGGAGGUAUCAGAAGUGCGAAUGCUGACAUGAGUAACGACAAAGGGGGUGAAAAACCUCCUCGCCGGAAGACCAAGGGUUCCUGUCCAACGUUAAUCGGGGCAGGGUGAGUCGACCCCUAAGGUGAGGCCGAAAGGCGUAAUCGAUGGGAAACGGGUUAAUAUUCCCGUACUUCUGACUAUUGCGAUGGGGGGACGGAGAAGGCUAGGUGGGCCAGGCGACGGUUGUCCUGGUUCAAGUGCGUAGGCUUGAGAGUUAGGUAAAUCCGGCUCUCUCUAAG
rnacentral:rRNA from 1 species